rnacentral:lncRNA from 1 species
GUUUGUAGACUCGACCUUUUGCCAAAGUUUCAAGAAAUGUUGUUUAGAAGGAUUUCAAGGGCGAAUCGAGAGAACGCCUUUGCUUCACGGAGAAGGCGUUACCUAACGAAAAUAUGCAAUUACAUGCUAAAUUACGCCAAUAGGAUCUCGCUAGCUCGUGCUUAACUCUCUCCACCUCCUUGCUUGUUCUCCCCACUAUGCUUGCUUGCCUUCGUUUGCUCUCAUUAGAAACGACCCUGAUUAAAUAUCUUGGAAUUCUGAAAAUGGAUGAUGAAGUUCUGGACUGGACAGGCACACAAGUGGAACUGCAGAAUGAAUAGACCAAUGUAAGAACCAAGCCAGGUCAGUUGUACCAAAACCAAUCACAAGACAGACAAACACAUCUUUCUCGCCUUUGUUCAAUAGCACUACCCUCUUCCAGCUGAAUCACAUCCAUCAUGGACAAAACAGCCUGGCCAGCUCCACUGACCAAUCAGACUUCCGAGGAGGAACGCAUUCAUCCUUCAAUGUGAGCACAGCAAGACGCUGCUGAAUGGAAUGAUGAUAUUUGUUACAUUCAAGUUCUGCAAAAUAGACUAACAACUGUGAAUCACUGAGAUGCCCUGAUUAGACUUUUGUUGUAAAUGUUGUAAGAUACACAAGACACUUUUUAAAAGUGUGUGUGCCUUUUGAAGUGAAUUUGAUUGUAAGACAUGAAAUGAAAGGUCAUGCCCCUUUAAUUGUGCUUCAUAAAGCCGUAAAGCUCAUGGCUGCAAUCAAUGUUAGAUGUUACUUUAUCCCUAGGGUUACCCUAAGGGGAUUGUUAUGGUUUUAUCCUAGACUAGUCAAUAAACAGUUUUAGUCAACAUGAAGUUUAUAAUAAUUGAUUAAUAGUUUUAAGUCAUACAAAUUGUGGAAUGAUCAUUUUGGUGCAUGUCAAAUAGUGAGCUAAUAUGUCACUGUAUAAUAACAGCAAUAAUGGAUUACAUUGCAUCAAAACCACACUAUUUGAACCAAUGAGUUAAAGAUUAAGUGUUAAAGAUUUAUAAUCUACAUAUGAACUAAAUCAUUUUUGUUUCUUUUGUGAGAAACCCCAAUAUGUGUUGUUGUAACAAUUCAGUUAUAUACAUUUUUGUUGUUGAUUUGAUUUAGAUUUGACUGUUUUUCUUUUGUGAUUCAUAGAAGACUAUCAUGGGCGGGUUCCACCAGAUGUCAUAUCUUACUAUCUUAAUUAUUUUGGUGAAAUGGGUGAUGAACUAAUAGUGACUAAACAGGUCUUGGAAAAGAGUCUGUAAAAAUGUCUUAUACAGAAAUAAUAAUUAUUAGUCUAGAGCGCCAUCUACUGACAUAAUACUGUAUUGUACAACAAAGGCAGCCUUGUCUGAACGUUAUUCUGUACCCACUAGGGUUGGGGUCAAUUUCUAACUGUAUUUGAAUGACUGUAAACCAGUGGCCCUAAAGGUGGCUGUUAUGAAACAUAUGUAAAGACAUUGCGGUUUAAAUGAAGGAGGGCUAGGCCCUACACCUGUACCUGGCAACAAAGUCUACUCAAAAUUAAACACUUUUGGCUAAAAACAAUCUAGAAUCGUGGAAAGCUCUGCGUUAAGGUAUAAUAUAGAUAAACACAUGUUUUUUCCCUAGUCUUCCGCCAUUUGUAUUUGUUUCCUGUUCAAACAAUGCCACGGUGUGUUUCGUUCAAGAACUUCAAUUGACUUUCAAUGAUUUUUCCCUCCCUCCCUCCAUUUCUUUAUUUUUAUUUAAUUAAAUGUGUUAUGUGUAUGAGGUUGAGAUAUGACCUGUGGGCUUAUGGUGUAUGUCAGUAGGUAUAUACAGAGAAUUUAAAAUACCAUUAUACAGAUUCCCAGAUCCCAGUCUAUAGCUUUAAAGAGAUUUUUGUUGUUGUAACUAUAUACAUCUAAAAUCAUUCUGAGAUGAGAACGGAGCAGAAGACACAUUUCUAUUGUUCGCUGUAACACAUGGAAAACAAAGUUGUAUUCUAUUCUUGGAGACAUGCCCUUUAUGUCUUAAUCAGACAGCAGUACAUGUUUUGCCCGAGAGGCUUGAGUAGGCUGGAGUAGGAAGUCAAAACAAAAAGGCAGUGACUGUCAGCUGCUACAGAGUCACACAGUGUUCACAGAAUGUCAUCAAUGCAAUAUAACAGUGAAUAAUCAGUGUGUCCUUGGCCCUUGUACCUCCAGUCUGGCUUCAAUCACUCAACAGAAAUGAGAAUAAUUCAUAACAUUCAGUAUCAAAUCUGCACUCUUAGAACAAAAGGUGCUUCAGUUUGUCCCCAUAGGGGAGCCCUUUUUGGUGCUAGGUAGAACCUUUUGCAGAGGAUUCUACCUAGACCUAGAACCCUCUAUGAAGGAUUCUUCAUAGACCCCUCCAUGAAAGGUUCUUCCUAGAACCCUCUAUCUUCUGAAGGUUUUUUCUAGGGCCCUCUGUGAAGGGUGUAAAGCCUUAUUUGUAUAUUUCCCUGUGUGCAUUUCGAGUGAAUUGUAGAGUUACUGUACCACCCAUGACUGUGUUUGUUAGUGACAGAGACUUGGUUGUUGCAUUCAGUGGCUUUCAAUCCUGUAGCCUCCAUCAAGUGAGUGCCUAAGUGAAUAUGUUAUCAUAACAUUUAAACUCUUUAUAACAAUACAGGCUAAGUCACACCUGAUGUAGCCUGCAUAUAGAGUGAGGAUAUCCAACAAUUGGAACUUUUAAUCACCUGCCACCCACAUUCAGAAUGACUUUCAAGGUAGGGAAGAGUGAUACAUGAGACUACCUAAACCAGGGAUGGGCAACUUUGAUGGGGAUGGGAGCCACAAAAAAAUCUGAACUCAUCAUGAGGGGGUGCAGUGGCUUGCAGGUCUGCGUAACCACAUCCAUACCCACACAUGCAGUCAACUGAUUUGUGCAAUCAAUGCAUUUGUGCAGUUAAACUACUUAACUCUAUUAAGGAAAUGCUUUAUACCAGUAGCCAAGGCUGAGCCUAGCCUUUUGCAGGCCCAAAGAGAGAUUUGAUUGGGGGACCCCCCACCUUGCGGGCAAAUAAUUUUGAUGCCCCCAUCUUGACAGUGGAAAGAAAAAUGUACGUUUUAAAGUCAAAGACAUGCUCUGGAAAUGUGGCGAAUACAAAUUAUUUUUUAAACCUCCGCUUUGGGCUGGAUGUGUCAAUGUGAAGUUCAUACAUGCAUAAUCUAUUCGCUGAAUUACUGUUUUACCUCAAUUAGCCACGAAAUCCCUAGAUUGAAAGUGACUGUUUUUCUGGAAGCUGUGUGGCUCAAUUUUCCCAAAAUGUUCCCCCAUGUGGGCCAGCCCCCUAGCAAUUCGAGUUCUAGCCAAUGAGCUACAGCCCCUCCCCAUUGGGGUGACAGCUAGCAAGAUGCAUACACAGCAGAGCGAGAGAGCACAAUGACGUGGUGCACAUAUCUGCACAUAUGUGACAUAGUAUGCAAUGCUCUAAAUGCCUGGUAGGUAUUCGGCCAUGAUUUCUACAAGUUUAGACAGUUGGCUAGACUAAUUUGCCAAUAAAAAAUUGUUGACAUGGCUAAUUGAGGUCCCGAGUGGCGCAGCGGUCUAAGGCAGUGCUAGAGGCAUCACUUUAUACCCUGGUUCGAUUCGAGGCUGUAUCACAACCGGCUGUGAUUGGGAGUCCCAGAGGACGGCGCACGAUUG